rnacentral:rRNA from 1 species
AUGCACGCUGGCGGCGUGCUUAACACAUGCAAGUCGCACGGAAAGGCUCCUGCUUGCAGGGGUACUCGAGUGGCGAACGGGUGAGUAACACGUGGGUGAUCUGCCCUGCACUUCGGGAUAAGCCUGGGAAACUGGGUCUAAUACCGGAUAGGACGAUGGUUUGGAUGCCAUUGUGGAAAGUUUUUCGGUGUGGGAUGAGCUCGCGGCCUAUCAGCUUGUUGGUGGGGUAAUGGCCUACCAAGGCGUCGACGGGUAGCCGGCCUGAGAGGGUGUACGGCCACAUUGGGACUGAGAUACGGCCCAGACUCCUACGGGAGGCAGCAGUGGGGAAUAUUGCACAAUGGGCGCAAGCCUGAUGCAGCGACGCCGCGUGGGGGAUGACGGCCUUCGGGUUGUAAACUCCUUUCGCUAGGGACGAAGCGUUUUGUGACGGUACCUGGAGAAGAAGCACCGGCUAACUACGUG